rnacentral:rRNA from 1 species
UAACACGUGAGCAACCUGCCUUUCAGAGGGGGAUAACAGUUGGAAACGACUGCUAAUACCGCAUAACGCUGCGAUGGGGCACCCCGAUGCAGCCAAAGGAGCAAUCCGCUGGAAGAUGGGCUCGCGGCCGAUUAGCUAGUUGGUGGGGCAACGGCCCACCAAGGCGACGAUCGGUAGCCGGACUGAGAGGUUGAUCGGCCACAUUGGGACUGAGACACGGCCCAGACUCCUACGGGAGGCAGCAG